AGUGAACGCUGGCGAUAGGCCUAACACAUGCAAGUCGAACGGCAGCACAGUAAGAGCUUGCUCUUACGGGUGGCGAGUGGCGGACGGGUGAGGAAUACAUCGGAAUCUACUUUUUCGUGGGGGAUAACGUAGGGAAACUUACGCUAAUACCGCAUACGACCUACGGGUGAAAGCAGGGGAUCUUCGGACCUUGCGCGAUUGAAUGAGCCGAUGUCGGAUUAGCUAGUUGGCGGGGUAAAGGCCCACCAAGGCGACGAUCCGUAGCUGGUCUGAGAGGAUGAUCAGCCACACUGGAACUGAGACACGGUCCAGACUCCUACGGGAGGCAGCAGUGGGGAAUAUUGGACAAUGGGCGCAAGCCUGAUCCAGCCAUACCGCGUGGGUGAAGAAGGCCCUCGGGUUGUAAAGCCCUUUUGUUGGGAAAGAAAAGCAGCAGGUUAAUACCCCGCUGUUCUGACGGUACCCAAAGAAUAAGCACCGGCUAACUUCGUG
rnacentral:rRNA from 1 species